AUUUCUUAUGAGGCAUAACAGCUUAGCUAGGAUUUAAUCCUUGAACCCUAGAAUUUGGUGUAGUUGAAGACUGAGAAAUGAAGGAGUUUUGGGAAAAAUUGUCAAGAGAAGAAAAUCGGUAGAGGAAGAACAUAUGCAACAUUGUCAUUCAGAUAUUCUACUUUUAGAUGAGUCACCGAUAUUGGAAAGAAUGAAGGAAAUGAAGAUAACUGAUCCAGAAAUAAACUGGCUCUACUGUGCUUUGGUGGCAAAGGAGAAUAUUGAUCCGACAUAUAUCAUGGUGAAUAGAUGGCUAGCUGAAGCAACAUCCAGUACUGGAUUGGUUCUAGAAUGUACCUCACAUUGAUAGAAU
rnacentral:lncRNA from 1 species